AUAUCAAUAAGCGGAGGAAAAGAAACCAACCGGGAUUGCCCUAGUAACGGCGAGUGAAGCGGCAAAAGCUCAAAUUUGAAAUCUGGCCCCCCCGGGGUCCGAAUUGUAAUUUGGAGAAGGUGCUUCGGGGGCGACGGCGGCUCAAGUCCCUUGGAACGGGGCGUCACAGAGGGUGAGAAUCCCGUACGCGGCCGUCCGUCCAACCCGUGUGAAGCCCUUUCGACGAGUCGGGUUGUUUGGGAAUGCAGCCCUAAGUGGGUGGUAAAUUUCAUCUAAAGCUAAAUACCUGCCAAAGACCGAUAGCGCACAAGUAGAGUGAUCGAAAGAUGAAAAGAACUUUGAAAAGAGAGUUAAACAGUACGUGAAAUUGUUGAAAGGGAAGCGCUUGCAGCCAGACUCGUGCGCGGGGGCUUAGCCGUUCUUCGGGACGGUGCACUCCCCCGCGGUCGGGCCAGCAUCGGUUUCGGCGGUCGGACAAAGGCCCCGGGAAUGUAGCUCCUCUCGGGGAGCGUUAUAGCCCGGGGUACAAUGCGACCCGCCGGGACCGAGGACCGCGCUUCGGCUAGGAUGCUGGCGUAAUGGUUGCCAGCGACCCGUCUUGAAACACGGACCAAGGAGUCAACGAAUUGUGCGAGUGUUAGGGCGUCAAACCCUUGCGCGUAAUGAAAGUGAACGUAGGUGGGAGCCCCCGGGCGCACCAUCGACCGAUCUUGAUGUUUUCGGACGGAUUUGAGUACGAGCAUCGUUCGUUGGACCCGAAAGGUAUGUGGAACAGAACCCCCCUCGUUCCGUGAACGAACCUGCUAACCCUUGUCCUUACAGAUGGUGAACUAUGCGUGAAUAGGGUGAAGCCAGAGGAAACUCUGGUGGAGGCUCGCAGCGGUUCUGACGUGCAAAUCGAUCGUCAAAUUUGCGCAUAGGGGCGAAAGGUACGCGCGAAUCCCCUUCCCUCCCCCGCUGUACCGACCGUGCUAACUUCUUCCUUUCCAGACCAAUCGAAUCAUCUAGUAGCUGGUUUCUGUCGAAGUUUCCCU
rnacentral:rRNA from 1 species